rnacentral:rRNA from 1 species
UACGUAGGGUGCGAGCGUUGUCCGGAAUUAUUGGGCGUAAAGAGCUUGUAGGCGGUCUGUCGCGUCUGCUGUGAAAAUCCGGGGCUCAACCCCGGACUUGCAGUGGGUACGGGCAGACUAGAGUGUGGUAGGGGAGACUGGAAUUCCUGGUGUAGCGGUGAAAUGCGCAGAUAUCAGGAGGAACACCGAUGGCGAAGGCAGGUCUCUGGGCCACUACUGACGCUGAGAAGCGAUAGCAUGGGGAGCGAACAGG